UUACGGUCACAUCACUUUGAAACACCGGUUCUCGUUCGAUUACCGAAGUUAAGCAACGUCGGCCCUAGUCAGUACUCUAGAUGGGUGACCGCUUUGGAAUUCGGAGUGUU